rnacentral:rRNA from 1 species
AAUGGGCGCAAGCCUGAUCCAGCAAUGCCGCGUGUGUGAAGAAGGCCUGCGGGUUGUAAAGCACUUUAAGCAGGAAAGAAGGCUUCAGGGUUAAUACCCUUGGGGAUUGACGUUACCUGCAGAAUAAGCACCGGCUAACUCCGUGCCAGCAGCCGCGGUAAUACGGAGGGUGCGAGCGUUAAUCGGAAUUACUGGGCGUAAAGCGCGCGUAGGCGGUUUGCUAAGUCCGCUGUGAAAGCCCCGGGCUUAACCUGGGAACUGCAGUGGAUACUGGCAAGCUAGAGUAUGGUAGAGGAGAGUGGAAUUUCCGGUGUAGCAGUGAAAUGCGUAGAGAUCGGAAGGAACACCAGUGGCGAAGGCGGCUCUCUGGACCAAUACUGACGCUGAGGUGCGAAAGCGUGGGGAGCAAA